rnacentral:rRNA from 1 species
AGUGAACGUUGGCGGCGUGGAUUAGGCAUGCAAGUCGAGCGAGAACCGUAGCAAUACGGGGACAGCGGCGAAAGGGACAGUAAUGUGUAGGUACCUACCCCGAGGUCUGGGAUAGCUGCGGGAAACUGCAGGUAAUACCGGAUAAUGUCUUCGGACCAAAGGUGUGAUUCCACCUUGGGAGGGGCCUGCAUCCUAUUAGCUAGUUGGGGAGGUAACGGCUCACCAAGGGGACGAUGGGUAGCGGGUGUGAGAGCACGACCCGCGUCAUUGGGACUGGGACACUGCCCAGACACCUACGGGUGGCUGCAGUCGAGGAUCUUCGGCAAUGGGCGAAAGCCUGACCGAGCGACGCCGCGUGUGGGAUGAAGGCCUUCGGGUUGUAAACCACUGUCGUAGAGGAGGAAAUGCAGGGGGGUUCUCCCUUCUGUUUGACCUAUUCUAGGAGGAAGUACGGGCUAAGUUCGUGCCAGCCGCCGCGGUAA